UACAGAGGGUGCGAGCGUUGUUCGGAAUUAUUGGGCGUAAAGGGUGCGUAGGCGGUUUUGUAAGUCUGAUGUGAAAUCUAUGGGCUCAACUCAUAGUCUGCAUCGGAAACUGCAGGGCUCGAGUAUGGGAGAGGUGAGUGGAAUUCCUGGUGUAGCGGUGAAAUGCGUAGAUAUCAGGAGGAACACCUGUGGCGAAAGCGGCUCACUGGACCAUAACUGACGCUGAAGCACGAAAGCUAGGGGAGCAAACAGG
rnacentral:rRNA from 1 species